rnacentral:lncRNA from 1 species
AAAACAUUACAAAUUUCUUGACAUAUCAUAUUCCACACUUUGAUUCAAGUGGGUUAUGAACUCCCACCUUCACCCCAUACACAGAUUGCAGAAUCACAUCAGUUACACAUCCAUUGAUUUACAUAUUGCCAUACUAGUGUCUGUUGUGCUCCACUGCCUUUCCCAUCCUCCACCCUCCCCCCUCCCCAGGUGUCUAAUUUCUUAAAAUUCUUAUUUUGUUAAUUUUGUCAGUUUUUGCUGUUUUUGUUGAUUUAGGUAUAAAGGCAAAUCUCAUCUCAGUCACUUUCCCUUGGCUGAAAAGUAUGUCACUCCUUCACUUAAAAAAAAAUCUUCAUUUCCCAAAUCAGUAACAACCUAAAUCCUAACACUUGUCCAGAUUAGCUGGGCCCUAUUAUCAUUCUGAAUUUCUCUGCUGCAAGUAUCCAUUCAAUUUUCUGACUGAUCCUCAAAGGCCUUCUUGCCUUUUGUUAAGUAAAAUUAGGCAUGCUGGCCUCUCAGGGCCUUUAGUCUUACUAUUUCAUCCUCUUGGAAUUUUCUUUCCCUAAAUAAUUACAUAACUGGCUCUUCAAAUAUUAAAUUAUCAGUGAGGAACUUCGAGGUCUCCUUAUCUAAACUUGCAAACCAAAUCUGAUAUUCCUUAUUCAAUUUUCUUUAUUUUUCCUCUUAGCAUUGAUUAUCAUAUAUGCUAUAUAUUUAACUAUUGUUUAGUCUCCCCUCCAUUGAAAAGGAAAUUUCAUAAGGACAGAGAUUUUUAUGACUUUCCCCAAGUUACCCACAGUAUAUUUAAACAAUAUAUAGCAUAUAAUAGGUACCCAAUAAAUAAAAUAUAAUAAUAAACCCAAUAGACAAAAUAUUUAUAAAAUAAAUUAGAAGUAAAUAAAUGAACAAUUAUUUCUGUGAGAUUAGUUUUUUUUUAAUUUUUAUAUUUAUUUGUUAUAAUCAGUUAUACAUGACGGCAGAAUGCUCUUCAGUUCAUUGUACAUAAAUGGAGCACAAUUUUUCACUUCUCUGGUUGUAUAUCCAGUAGGGUCAUACCAUUCCUGCAAUCAUGCAUGUACCUAGGAUAAUGAUUUUCAUUUUAUUAUAUCACCUUUCCUAUCCCCAUGCCCCCUGCCCUUUUUCCCCUCCCCUUUGGUCAAUCCAAAAUUUCUCCAUUCCUCUCCUCCCAUGUCCCUCCUCCAUUAUGGAUUACCAUCCACAUAUCAGAGAAGACAACCGGCCUUUGAUUUUGGGAUUAGUUUACUUUGUUUAGCAUGAUAUUCUCUAAUUCCAUCCAUUUACCUGCAAAUGCCAUAAUUUUAUUCUCUCUUAUUGCUGAGAAGUAUUCUAUUGUGUAUUGCUGAGAAGUAUUCCGUUGUGUAUAUAUAUCACAGUUGCUUUAUCCAUUCAUCUAUUGAAGGGCAUCUAGGUUGGUUCCACAUUUUGGCUAUUGUGAAUUGUGCUGUUAUAAACAUUGAUAUGGCUGUGUCAAUCUUAAAGGAUAUUGCGGUAGGGGAUAAAUGCUCUUCCGCCUCAAAAUGUGAAAAUGAGAAUUAACACAUUUUUUUCCCAUUCAUUUUGCUAAGCAGCAGACAACCUCUUAAUUUAAGAAUGGCCUCCUAUAUUUCUAGGGCAUUCUUUUAUACUUGUUAUUACUUUUUAAAUUUCCCUCACUAUUUUCUGUCAUUUCUGGAACAGUUACAGAUACUCCCAGAUUAAUCCUAGAUUAAUUAAUCCUAGAUUAAUCUCUAAUUUUCUUAUAUUUGCUCCCCCUUUGAAUGAAUUUCUAUACUGUCUAGCAGAAACACAUAUUUUACAGUUAUAUCUUAGGUUUUGUUUUCUUUUCUAAAUAUUUCACUUUUAAGGAACAGUAGACCUUUUUUUUUGUCUAUUUGCUAAUUUUAGGUAUCUACAAAUCUCCAUAAGGUUAUUAUAGUUUUGUUUUGUUUUGUUUAUCCACUGUUUCUUCAAAGUAUUUGCCCCCUGGUUUGUUUCAG